GAAGAUAUAGCUCAAGUGGUAGAGCACAUGCCUAGCAUGCACGAGGUCCUGGGUUCAAUCCCCAGUACCUCCU
rnacentral:tRNA from 1 species